GACGAACGCUGGCGGCGUGCCUAACACAUGCAAGUUGAGCGACGAACCAGGGCUUGCCCUGGGGCAAAGCAGCGAACGGGUGAGUAACACGGGGGUAACCCGCCCCGAUGAUCGGGACAACCCGAGGAAACUCGGGCUAAUACCGAAUGUGCUCGCCGGACACCAGUCCGGCGCGUAAAGGAAGCUUCUGCCUCCGCAUCGGGAGGGGCCCCCGGACCGUUAGCUUGUUGGUGAGGUAACGGCUCACAAAGGCAACGAUGGGGAGCUGGUCUGGGAGGACGAUCAGCCACGCUGGGACUGAGACACGGCCCAGACUCCUACGGGAGGCAGCAGUGGGGAAUCUUGCGCAAUGCGCGAAAGCGUGAAGCAGCAACGCCGCGUGGGGGAAGAAGGCCUUCGGGUUGUAAACCCCUUUCAGGAGGGACGAAGGUUCGGCGGUGAAUAGCCGUCCGGACUGACGGUACCUCCACAAGAAGCCCCGGCUAACUACGUGCCAGCCGCCGCCGUAAUAC
rnacentral:rRNA from 1 species